UACGUAGGGUGCAAGCGUUAUCCGGAAUUAUUGGGCGUAAAGAGCUCGUAGGCGGUUUGUCGCGUCUGCCGUGAAAGUCCGGGGCUCAACUCCGGAUCUGCGGUGGGUACGGGCAGACUAGAGUGUUGUAGGGGAGACUGGAAUUCCUGGUGUAGCGGUGAAAUGCGCAGAUAUCAGGAGGAACACCGAUGGCGAAGGCAGGUCUCUGGGCAUUAACUGACGCUGAGGAGCGAAAGCAUGGGGAGCGAACAGG
rnacentral:rRNA from 1 species